rnacentral:rRNA from 1 species
AUACGUAGGGGGCGAGCGUUGUCCGGAAUGAUUGGGCGUAAAGGGCGCGUAGGCGGCUUUGCAAGUCAGUAGUGGAAGUCCAUUUUUCAAGGAUGGAAGUGCUACAGAAACUGCGGAGCUUGAGUGCAGGAGAGGUUAUCGGAAUUCCCGGUGUAGCGGUGAAAUGCGUAGGGAUCGGGAGGAACACCAGUGGCGAAGGCGGGUAACUGGACUGCAACUGACGCUGAGGCGCGAAAGUGUGGGGAGCAAACAGGAUUAGAUACCCUGGUAGUCCACACUGUAAACGAUGAAUGCUAGGUGUAGGAGGUAUCGACCCCUUCUGUGCCGCAGUAAACACAGUAAGCAUUCCGCCUGGGGAGUACGGUCGCAAGAUUAAAACUCAAAGGAAUUGACGGGG